GGUCAGGACGAACGCUGGCGGCGUGCCUAACACAUGCAAGUCGAGCGAGGAGAUCCUUCGGGAUGAUCCUAGCGGCGGACGGGUGAGUAACACGUGGGCAACCUGCCUCAUAGAGAGGAAUAGCCUUCCGAAAGGGAGAUUAAUACCUCAUAACAUUGCAGUUUCGCAUGGAACAGCAAUUAAAGGAGUAAUCCGCUAUGAGAUGGGCCCGCGGCGCAUUAGCUAGUUGGUGAGGUAACGGCUCACCAAGGCGACGAUGCGUAGCCGACCUGAGAGGGUGAUCGGCCACAUUGGGACUGAGACACGGCCCAGACUCCUACGGGAGGCAGCAGUGGGGAAUAUUGCACAAUGGGGGAAACCCUGAUGCAGCCAAUGCCGCGUGAGUGAUGACGGCCUUCGGGUUGUAAAGCUCUGUCUUCAGGGACGAUAAUGACGGUACCUGAGGAGGAAGCCACGGCUAACUACGUGCCAGCAGCCGC
rnacentral:rRNA from 1 species